rnacentral:rRNA from 1 species
CCUACGGGAGGCAGCAGUGGGGAAUAUUGCACAAUGGGGGAAAUCCUGAUGCAGCGACGCCGCGUGAGUGAAGAAGUAAUUCGGUAUGUAAAGCUCUAUCAGCAGGGAAGAAAAUGACGGUACCUGAGUAAGAAGCCCCGGCCAACUACGGGCCAGCAGCCGCGGUUAUACGUAGGGGGCAAGCGUUAUCCGGAUUUACUGGGUGUAAAGGGAGCGUAGACGGCAGUGCAAGUCUGGGGUGAAAGGCGGGGGCUCAACCCCCGGACUGCUCUGGAAACUGUACGGCUGGAGUGCAGGAGAGGUAAGUGGAAUUCCUAGUGUAGCGGUGAAAUGCGUAGAUAUUAGGAGGAACACCAGUGGCGAAGGCGGCUUACUGGACUGUAACUGACGUUGAGGCUCGAAAGCGUGGGGAGCAAACAGGAUUAGAUACCCUUGUAGUC